UGCCCUAUGAGARAUUAAAUGGCCGCGGUAUUUUAACCGUGCAAAGGUAGCAUAGUCACUUGUCUCUUAAUUGGAGGCUUGAAUGAAGGGUUGGACGAGAUAUAAACUUUCUUUAUUAUAAUYAGUUGAAUUUGACUUUUGAGUCAAAAGGCUUAAAUAUAUUUAUAGGACGAGAAGACCCUAUAGAAUUUUAUAUUUUUAUUUUAAUAAUUUAUUUGUUUAURAUUAAAUUUUUUUUAUAAAAAUAUUUUGUUGGGGCGAUGGGAAGAUUUUUUUAACUCU
rnacentral:rRNA from 1 species